rnacentral:rRNA from 1 species
GUUUGAUCCUGGCUCAGAAUGAACGCUGGCGGCGUGCUUAACACAUGCAAGUCGCACGAGAACGCUUCAGCUUGCUGAAGCUAGUAAAGUGGCGCACGGGUGAGUAACGCGUGGGUAAUCUACCUCCAAAUUGGGGAUAACAUUGCGAAAGCGAUGCUAAUACCGAAUAAUAUCUCAAGAACUUCGGCUUUUGAGAUCAAAGGUGGCCUCUCCAUGGAAGCUACUAUUAGGAGAUGAGCCCGCGUACCAUUAGCUUGUUGGUAGGGUAAUGGCCUACCAAGGCAACGAUGGUUAGCUGGUCUGAGAGGAUGAUCAGCCACACUGGAACUGACACACGGUCCAGACUCCUACGGGAGGCAGCAGUGAGGAAUUUUGCGCAAUGGGGGAAACCCUGACGCAGCAACGCCGCGUGAGUGAUGAAGGCUUUCGGGUCGUAAAGCUCUGUCAAGUGGGAAGAACCUGCCUAGUGCUAAUAUCACCGGGCACUGACGUACCACUGAAGAAGCACCGCUAACU